rnacentral:tRNA from 1 species
ACCUGGGUGGCUCAGUCGGUUAAGCGUCAGACUUCGACUCAGAUCCUGAUCUUGCAGUUCGUGGGUUCGAGCCCCACAUCAGGCU